UUGAACGCUGGCGGAAUGCUUUACACAUGCAAGUCGAACGGCAGCACGGGGGCAACCCUGGUGGCGAGUGGCGAACGGGUGAGUAAUGUAUCGGAACGUACCCAGUCGUGGGGGAUAACUAUCCGAAAGGAUAGCUAAUACCGCAUACGUCCUGAGGGAGAAAGCGGGGGAUCGCAAGACCUCGCGCGAUUGGAGCGGCCGAUAUCGGAUUAGCUAGUUGGUGAGGUAAAGGCCUACCAAGGCGACGAUCCGUAGCUUGUCUGAGAGGAUGAUCAGCCACACUGGGACUGAGACACGGCCCAGACUCCUACGGGAGGCAGCAGUGGGGAAUUUUGGACAAUGGGCGCAAGCCUGAUCCAGCCAUGCCGCGUGAGUGAAGAAGGCCUUCGGGUUGUAAAGCUCUUUCAGCAGGAACGAAACGGUGGCUACUAAUACUAGCUACUAAUGACGGUACCUGAAGAAGAAGCACCGGCUAACUACGU
rnacentral:rRNA from 1 species